AGAGUUUGAUCAUGGCUCAGAACGAACGCUGGCGGCAGGCUUAACACAUGCAAGUCGAACGCCCCGCAAGGGGAGUGGCAGACGGGUGAGUAACGCGUGGGAAUCUACCCAGAACUUCGGAACAACUGAGGGAAACUUCAGCUAAUACCGGAUACGCCCUACGGGGGAAAGAUUUAUCGGUUCUGGAUGAGCCCGCGUUGGAUUAGCUAGUUGGUGAGGUAAUGGCCCACCAAGGCGACGAUCCAUAGCUGGUCUGAGAGGAUGAUCAGCCACACUGGGACUGAGACACGGCCCAGACUCCUACGGGAGGCAGCAGUGGGGAAUAUUGGACAAUGGGCGAAAGCCUGAUCCAGCCAUGCCGCGUGAGUGAUGAAGGCCUUAGGGUUGUAAAGCUCUUUCAGUAGGGAAGAUAAUGACGGUACCUACAGAAGAAGCCCCGGCUAACUUCGUGCCAGCAGCCGCGGUAAUACGAAGGGGGCUAGCGUUGUUCGGAUUUACUGGGCGUAAAGCGCACGUAGGCGGAUCGUUAAGUCGGGGGUGAAAUC
rnacentral:rRNA from 1 species